GAGAAGGCAAGCCAUUGAAAUAGACUCAGACGUAUCUUUCAGAGCCUCACGAGAAAAAACACAUACACGGUAGAAAGUUUGAGGUAACAGCGUGAAAAAUAUAAAGAACAUGUUUUAACGAAAACUCAAAAUUUAAGCAAAUUUUAGAAGAGAAAAGAGUCAUGUAUAACUUAGGAAAUAGUAGAUGAGCAUGCUUAGAGUUCGAACAAAGGUCCAUUAAAGGCAAAUAAAGAUUAAAAGAUUAGUAAAAUAGAGGAAAGGAACAUAUGAGAUAGACAUGUAAAUCAUGCUUAUAGAACCCAAUAAAGAGAAGAACAUAACACAAAAAUAGAAGAACAUGCAUAAUAUGGAAAAACAUAAGAACAGGGGAGAAGACAUGAGAGGAAAGAACAUAAAAACAUGGCGUACAUAGAUUCACACAAGAAAAGAAGAAGAAAAAGAGUCAAAAGUCAUUUUAAGAUUUUUCAAAAACCCUAAAUUGAUACAGACUAAUUUUGAAAGGAAAAUUGGGGAAAACCUUUAAAACAUUAAAUUUAGCACAGAUCCACCACAGAUAUAGGUAAAUAAAAGAUGAAGGAACUUCGAAUCGCUUUAGGAACUCUCAGAAACCCUAGAAAUAUAAGGCUUGGAAGAGAUUCUAGUCUGGAUUCAGAAAUGGCCAUAGCUAGCCUGCUAAAGCUUGAAUACGUCGGAGCUAGGCAGGAGACGCCAUAGAACCACAGAUCUAUAGAGGAUCUGAACGGAUGCCCUUGAGGUCAUACCUCGAAAUCUCGAACACCCAUGGCUUGGGGGUGAAGGAAGGUGAGUACAGGCCGUCCAUGGCCUGAGAAGCCAUGGACUCUGGUGAGACAAUGGUCGGAGAAGGGCAGGCAACUACUAGGGUUUCGAGUGCUUGAGAGAAUUUUGAGGGAGAAGAGGUUUCAG
rnacentral:lncRNA from 1 species